rnacentral:rRNA from 1 species
CCUACGGGCGGCUGCAGUGAGGAAUAUUGGUCAAUGGGCGGGAGCCUGAACCAGCCAAGUCGCGUGAGGGAAGACGGUCCUAUGGAUUGUAAACCUCUUUAGGCGGGGAGCAAUGCCGGGCACGCGUGCCCGGAGGGAGAGUACCCGCAGAAUAAGCAUCGGCUAACUCCGUGCCAGCAGCCGCGGUAAUACGGAGGAUGCGAUCGUUAUCCGGUUGUAUUGGGUUUUAAGGGUGAGUAGGCGGAUUUUUAGGUCAUCGGUAGAAUUGCCGGUCUCAACCCGGGCCGGCCGGUUAACCUGGGGAUCUUGAGUUGGCGAGAAGUAUGCGGAAUGCGUGGUGUAGCGGUGAAAUGCAUAGAUAUCACGCAGAACUCCGAUUGCGAAGGCAGCAUACCGGCGCCCGACUGACGCUGAGGCACGAAAGCGUGGGGAUCGAACAGGAUUAGAUACCCUUGUAGUC